AGCUGGUUGGUGAGGUAAAAGCUCACCAAGGCGACGAUCUGUAGCGGGUCUGAGAGGAUGAUCCACCACACUGGAACUGAGACACGGUCCAGACUCCUACGGGAGGCAGCAGUGGGGAAUUUUGGACAAUGGGGGCAACCCUGAUCCAGCCAUGCCGCGUGAGUGAAGAAGGCCUUCGGGUUGUAAAGCUCUUUCAGCCGGGAAGAAAAUGCAUGGGUUAAUACCCUGUGCAGAUGACGGUACCGGAAUAAGAAGCACCGGCUAACUACGUGCCAGCAGCCGCGGUAAUACGUAGGGUGCGAGCGUUAAUCGGAAUUACUGGGCGUAAAGCGUGCGCAGGCGGUUUUGUAAGACAGGCGUGAAAUCCCCGGGCUUAACCUGGGAACUGCGUUUGUGACUGCAAGGCUAGAGUACGGCAGAGGGGGGUGGAAUUCCACGUGUAGCAGUGAAAUGCGUAGAGAUGUGGAGGAACACCAAUGGCGAAGGCAGCCCCCUGGGUCGAUACUGACGCUCAUGCACGAAAGCGUGGGUAGCAAACAGGAUUAGAUACCCUGGUAGUCCACGCCCUAAACGAUGUCAACUAGGUGUUGGGAGGGUAAAACCUUUUAGUACCGUAGCUAACGCGAGAAGUUGACCGCCUGGGGAGUACGGCCGCAAGGUUAAAACUCAAAGGAAUUGACGGGGACCCGCACAAGCGGUGGAUGAUGUGGAUUAAUUCGAUGCAACGCGAAAAACCUUACCUACCCUUGACAUGUCAGGAACUUGCCAGAGAUGGCUUGGUGCCCGAAAGGGAACCUGAACACAGGUGCUGCAUGGCUGUCGUCAGCUCGUGUCGUGAGAUGUUGGGUUAAGUCCCGCAACGAGCGCAACCCUUGUCGUUAAUUGCCAUCAUUUAGUUGGGCACUUUAACGAGACUGCCGGUGACAAACCGGAGGAAGGUGGGGAUGACGUCAAGUCCUCAUGGCCCUUAUGGGUAGGGCUUCACACGUCAUACAAUGGUCGGUACAAAGGGUCGCCAACCCGCGAGGGGGAGCCAAUCCCAUAAAGCCGAUCGUAGUCCGGAUCGUAGGCUGCAACUCGCCUGCGUGAAGUCGGAAUCGCUAGUAAUCGUGGAUCAGCAUGUCACGGUGAAUACGUUCCCGGGUCUUGUACACACCGCCCGUCACACCAUGGGAGCGGGUUCCGCCAGAAGUAGGUAGCCUAACCGCAAGGGGGGCGCUUACCACGGCGGGGUUCGUGACUGGGGUGAAGUCGUAACAAGGUAGCCGUAGGGGAACCUGCGGCUG
rnacentral:rRNA from 1 species